CCACUUUCUCCGAAAGCCACUAGAUGCGUGCGUCGACCUGAUUCCCGAUUGCCUCUUUGUCCUCUAUCCUCAACGACCAUCCUACUAUGUCCUCUAUAUCCUCUCAUCUCCUUUGCGUUUUAUUCUUGCAGAUCUUGAUCGGGUGAGACUGAUGGGAAUCAUUCUCAAGUGGUGGCGCUGGAGCAACCUCUCUCCGCCGCCAGCAGAUCAUCUCCAACAUGGAGCGCAGAGAAUGCAAUAGGCUGACCUGCUAGCGCUACUCAUGGACCAGAUCUUUAAAUAAAGCUCGAUCCACCGCAUUGACAAGAAGUUCCUCGUUAGGGUGUGCUCAGGCCUCUUUUACAGAAGCUCCAGUCAUAUGAUAUUUGAAGAAGCCAGCAAAAAGUAGCUUAUAUAUAUUGUAAUAAUAGGCAU